rnacentral:tRNA from 1 species
GGAGAGAUGGCUCAGUGGUUAAGAGCUCUGACUGCUCUUCCAGAGGUCCUGAGUUCAAAUCCCAGCAACCACA